CCCAAAAUCAUUCAACCAAUUUGAUAUUCUCCAACCCAUUCCUUAGACUCGACCCAGCCCUCUCUUUUUUCCAAAAGGAGAAUACCCAACACUUAAAAAGUCCCAGAAGUUUUCCCAAAAUGACUUUUUAACGGCGUCUUCACAUCGUUCAAGUAGCUCUGCGCGUGAGCAUCCCUCGGACUACUGUACGUGCUUCAUGCCUCUUAACGCGAGAUCGAGUGGACAGACAACGGCUCAAACGCCCGCAAAGCAGACGGAGAUGGACGGAAAGUAGUCCCAACGUCUUUUUCUCCAUUUUGCUCAUGUAGUAAAGUAGUUGUAUGUCCUGGCAGCAAGAGCAGACGCGAGUCGUCCUUGUAGCGCAAGACGAGGACAAGUCGCCAAGCAAGGACGAUUGGAAUUGAUCCAAGCCCUUCAAGCCGUUGCCAUCGUCCAGAGUUUUCUGAGAUUUAACCUUUAAUAUCGUACAAGCAUCUAUUUAUUUGGCAGAAUUUUUUUGAAAUUUGAGUUGUGAUUUUGGGGAGUUCCAUUAUCGCCCAUUUCUCUCCCAAAAUCAAACCCUAAUCUCCCCCUAUAAAUAAUCUCUUACUUUUCAGAAAGAAAAAAGAGGAGAUAGAGAAAUUUUUUUGGAGUUAGACGAUUUUGAAAGAAAAAGAAAAAUUUGGGUUAGACAAAGUUAUAGAAAAUAAAAGAGCUUUAAGAAUCAAUCAAGUAUUUGAAAUAAAGAGGGAGUAGAUUUUGAACAGAAAGUUCUUCGAGGUUUAGUUCGGUUAUGGGCUCUCAUUCUUUUGGUUCAAUCUCGCAAGUUUAUUUGAGUCUUCCUUUGUGUGAUAGUCGCUGCCUCUUCUGCUCAUUCCGACUCGGUUCGCUGCCCUGAAUAAGAACUUAGGACAGGUGCCAAAUGGAAAUGGGUCAAAACCCCCAAAAGAAAUGGGUCCAAAUACCGGUCCAGGCGGACAUAAAUCGAAUUUGGACCCAACUCUCUCUC